GGGAAAGGGUGCAGGCUGGGGGGAGUAGCAAAGGAGUGGGGGAGAAAGAGAAGGAAUGGCUUGUAAAACAGGACUGCCUGCCAAGUUCUCAGGCACUCCUGGUACCUCUGCCCAUCACUCCUCAACUUCCAAGUUGGUGUCUGCCCUCUUUUGGAAACAGACCAUAAAGCUGUGAAGUUUAGGAAGCAUCUCUGGCACUUGAAGAUGCUCUAAAAGGUUUGGUUGACCAGAACUGGACACAUAGGAUCUACCAACAGGUGCUGCCCUUGCUCCGAAACCUGGAGGAAGGCGACCCAGAUCAUCCAAGACGCACCAGACGGCCUGGACUUCCACACCAGGACAUCAGCCCAGCUCUGCAGCAGACUGGGGGAGGGGGAGAGAGAAAGGAGAGGCAGUGAUGUUCCUGAGAUCCAAGUGUUGAGUCAGGCUUUUGGAUUUGGGCAGAUAAUUCUGCCUGCUGCUCACUCAUCUGGGGUGAAUGUCAGAACAGUACAUGGAGCCAUUUGACUCUUUUCAGGAAGCAUGGCAGAAACAAUGGCUGAAGAGGCAGCGGCAGAGCCUCCCUGCUGGAUGGCCCAGGGCUGUGUGUGUCUCCAUUUCCUGUGUGUAAGAACACUAUAUAAUAUAUAGUGAAGACAGUAACAGCUGUGGCAUAGCUGACAAGGAGCAGAAAAUGAGGCAAUGCAAGUUAAGUCUUGUGGUGGUUUGAAUGAGAAUGGCCUCCAUAGGCUCAUAUAUGUGAAUACUUGGUCCCCAGUUAGUGGGACUGUUUGAGAAAGAUUUGGAGGUGUGGCCUUGCUGGAAAAGGUAUGUCACUGGAGGUGGGCUCUGGGAUUUACAAAACAAAACAAAAAACCCUCUCACCGGUCCUGGUUAGCACUCUCUGCCUCUUGCUUGUGAAUCCAGAUGUGUGAUCUCAGCUGUUCUUUUGUUCCACCAUCAGGACUCCAACCCUCUGGAACUGUAACUACAAUCAAAAGCUCUCUUUUAUAAGUUGUCUUGAUCAUGAUUGUCUUGCCACAGCAAUAGAAAAGCAACUAAGACAGGCCUCUAGUAUGGAGUAAGUCCUCACCAACUGGUAGCAUGAAGAAAAUUGGAGCCUGAGUCUGAGGGAAGCCUCUUCAUGUGCUUCUCCUGUGAGGUAGCACAUUUAGAAAUAAGCGGAAACUUGGCCACAGGGCCGUGUAGACUUUUAUUGUUCUCUUUGCCUGUCUUUGUUGUGGAUGUAAACAUGUCUUCAUUUUGAUCCCAAGUGUAGGUUAUGGGACUGAUUCAGAUUGUCCACAGCAGCAAACUAUUUGCCUGGUACAGGUUCUGAGAAGGGCCCUUUGCCAGCUGCAGAGAGUUUAAAUCUGAGAGGGAAUAAAUGCCAGGGCUAAGAGAGAGACA
ensembl:lncRNA